AGAUAAACGGAGAUCUUACGGGUUUGGAACAACAUGAGGGUCCACAAGUCCCAAAGUGAUAAAGAAACACUACACUCAGGCACACAAAAGGAUAAGUCUGGAAGUCCACUUAUUACCUCUGCCUUAUAUAUACAUCUCUGUUUCUCUAUUUUGUGUUGUUGCAAUGACUGGCUUUAUUGAGCCUCCUGCUGCAUACCCCAGGUACAGCACAGUCACCCAACAUUCACUGAGAGAGGACUCCGAAAUAAUUGUCCAGGCCAGCGGGCAGUGUGUGGGAGAGCUCUGAUACUCAUCCUGCUGCUCAUCAUUCAUUCUCAUUCAUCCAAGGAUUAUUCCCACAGGGAAGGGAAAGACAUCAUCUUUCAACAGCACAUCUCGGAUCGAGUGCACCAGACCCAUCCACCAGGCUUAUCAUGAGCAGUGACAGACGCCCAGCAGUCGCCACAUCCCUCCAGCACAUGCCCUGACCUCUCUGACCUCUCAUUCCCAGCACUGCCAACAGUAGAAUGGAUCACCACGCACGCUUUUUGUCCAUUUAAUGAAAGUCAGAGGGACCAAAACAACACUGGACCACACUGACUUUCACUGUAUGAACAGAGAAAUUACAAAUACGUUCUUCAAAAUAUGUUCUUUUGUGUUUCACAGGAGAAAGAAAACUAUACAGGUUUGGAAUGAUGUGAGGAUGAGUAAAUGAUGAUAGAAAUCAUUGAAAAUGAUUUGUGUCCCAGAAGAAAACCUUUUCUAGGCCCAUCCUGCUUCUGCUGCGAACUGUCUGGUACAUCACUGCUAUAGGCUGAUACUGUUAUUGCAGUGCAACCAGACUGCCAUAGGCAGGUGUAUGAGUGAUAACAUAUAUUUGGCUCUGAUCCCUCGCAGCAAUGGAGAUCCUUGCUUUUCGGAGUAAAAAGUGGACUGUAAUCAUCUGCAGCCAGUCAUCUCAGGAGGUCGGCUGGGAUUUGAAGAAUGUGUCCCCCUCCUCCACAUCUCUGUCCUUUUCACCCUUCAACCCCAUCAUCCUCCCCAGCAAAAGGGCAUUUCUUCAGCUGGAGGAUCACGCUGCCACAGCUGAGCGGUGACGUGUGC